UGGCUGAACGCCUCUAAGUCAGAAUCCAUGCCAGAACGCGGUGAUACCACCCGCACGUAUAGACGGACAAGAAUAGGCUUCGGCUUAGUGUCUUAGCAGGCGAUUCUUCCACGGCACUCGAAGCGUGUCGUGGUAUUUCGCGUAUUGUAAUUUCAACACGAGCGGGGUCAAAUCCUUUGCAGACGACUUAGCUAUGCGAAACGGUCCUGUAAGCAGUAGAGUAGCCUUGUUGUUACGAUCUGCUGAGGGUAAGCCGUCCUUCGCCUCGAUUUCC
rnacentral:ncRNA from 1 species